GCAAGUCGACUGGAAUUUACCUUUCGGGGUAAUAGUACGGUGGCGGACGGGUGAGUAACGCGUAAAGAAUUUGCCCUUCAGACUGGGACAACUAACCGAAAGGUUAGCUAAUACCGGAUAUUAUGAGACCUUGGCAUCAAGGACUUAUGAAAGCUAUAUGCGCUGGAGGAGAACUUUGCGUUCCAUUAGCUAGUUGGUAGGGUAAUGGCCUACCAAGGCGACGAUGGAUAGCCGGCCUGAGAGGGUGAAC
rnacentral:rRNA from 1 species